AUUGAACGCUGGCGGCAUGCCUUACACAUGCAAGUCGAACGGCAGCACGGGAGCAAUCCUGGUGGCGAGUGGCGAACGGGUGAGUAAAGUAUCGGAACGUGCCCAGUCGUGGGGGAUAACGUAGCGAAAGUUACGCAAAUACCGCAUACGAUCUAUGAAUGAAAGCGGGGGAUCGCAAGACCUCGCGCGAUUGGAGCGGCCGAUAUCAGAUUAGGUAGUUGGUGGGGUAAAGGCUCACCAAGCCGACAAUCUGUAGCUGGUCUGAGAGGACGACCAGCCACACUGGGACUGAGACACGGCCCAGACUCCUACGGGAGGCAGCAGUGGGGAAUUUUGGACAAUGGGCGAAAGCCUGAUCCAGCCAUGCCGCGUGCAGGAUGAAGGCCUUCGGGUUGUAAACUGCUUUUGUACGGAACGAAAAGGUUUGGCCUAAUAAGCUGAGCUCAUGACGGUACCGUAAGAAUAAGCACCGGCUAACUACGUGCCAGCCGCCGCAGUAA
rnacentral:rRNA from 1 species